rnacentral:rRNA from 1 species
CUGAGAAAUUAGGUAAAUCCGGUUUCUCUUAAGGCUGAGACACGACGUCGAGCUACUACGGUAGUGAAGUCAUUGAUGCCAUGCUUCCAGGAAAAGCCUCUAAGCUUCAGAUUGUAAGGAAUCGUACCCCAAACCGACACAGGUGGUCGGGUAGAGAAUACCAAGGCGCUUGAGAGAACUCGGGUGAAGGAACUAGGCAAAAUGGUACCGUAACUUCGGGAGAAGGUACGCUCUCGACGGUGAAGUCCCUUGCGGAUGGAGCUAACGAGAGUCGCAGAUACCAGGUGGCUGCAACUGUUUAUUAAAAACACAGCACUGUGCAAAAUCGUAAGAUGACGUAUACGGUGUGACGCCUGCCCGGUGCCGGAAGGUUAAUUGAUGGGGUUAGACUUCGGUCGAAGCUCUUGAUCGAAGCCCCGGUAAACGGCGGCCGUAACGAUAACGGUCCUAAGGUAGCGAAAUUCCUUGUCGGGUAAGUUCCGACCUGCACGAAUGGCGUAAUGAUGGCCACGCUGUCUCCACCCGAGACUCAGUGAAAUUGAAAUCGCUGUGAAGAUGCAGUGUACCCGCGGCUAGACGGAAAGACCCCGUGCACCUUUACUACAGCUUUGCACUGAACUUUGAACCUACUUGUGUAGGAUAGGUGGGAGGCUUUGAAGCGGUAACGCCAGUUAUCGUGGAGCCAACCUUGAAAUACCACCCUGGUAUGUUUGAAGUUCUAACUUAGGCUCAUUAUCUGGGCUAAGGACAGUGUAUGGUGGGUAGUUUGACUGGGGCGGUCUCCUCCCAAAGAGUAACGGAGGAGCGCGAAGGUACACUAAUCCCGGUCGGAAAUCGGGAGGUUUGUGCAAAGGCAUAAGUGUGCUUGACUGCGAGACAGACACGUCGAGCAGGUGCGAAAGCAGGUCUUAGUGAUCCGGUGGUUCUGCAUGGAAGGGCCAUCGCUCAACGGAUAAAGGUACGCCGGGGAUAACAGGCUGAUUCCUCCCAAGAGUCCAUAUCGACGGGGGGUUUGGCACCUCGAUGUCGGCUCAUCACAUCCUGGGGCUGUAGCAGGUCCCAAGGGUAUGGCUGUUCGCCAUUUAAAGUGGUACGCGAGCUGGGUUCAGAACGUCGUGAGACAGUUCGGUCCCUAUCUGCCGUGGGCGUUUAGAGUUUUUGAGGGAAUCUGCUCCUAGUACGAGAGGACCGGAGUGGACGAACCUCUGGUGUUCCGGUUGUCACGCCAGUGGCAUUGCCGGGUAGCUAUGUUCGACGGGAUAACCGCUGAAAGCAUCUAAGCGGGGAAGCCUCUCCCCAAGAUGAGAAACUCUCUGAGGACUUGAUCCU